rfam:Oryza glaberrima chromosome 2 Oglab02_0271_2, whole genome shotgun sequence.
UAAAAGAUAAAUUCUGGGUUUCCGUGUCCAACGUUUGACCGUUAGUUUUAUUUGAAAAAAUUAUAAAAAAAAAUUAAAAAAGACAAGUCACAUAUAAAAUAUUAUUUAUAUUUAUCAUCUAACAACAAUAAAAAUACUAAUUAUAAAAAAAUUUCAUAUAAGACGAACGAUCAAACGUUGGACACGAAAAUUUAGGUUUUGGGCUUUUG